AACACCUGCAAGUCGAGCGGAAACGAGUUAACUGAACCUUCGGGGAACGUUAACGGCGUCGAGCGGCGGACGGGUGAGUAAUGCCUGGGAAAUUGCCAUGAUGUGGGGGAUAACCAUUGGAAACGAUGGCUAAUACUGCAUUAUAGCUUCGGCUCAUAGAGGGGGACCUUCGGGCCUCUCGCGUCAGGAUAUGCCCAGGUGGGAUUAGCUAGUUGGUGAGGUAAGGGCUCACCAAGGCGACGAUCCCUAGCUGGUCUGAGAGGAUGAUCAGCCACACUGGAAGUGAGACACGGUCCAGACUCCUACGGGAGGCAGCAGUGGGGAAUAUUGCACAAUGGGCGCAUGCGUGAUGCAGCCAUGCCGCGUGUAUGAAGAAUGCCUUCGGGUUGUAAAGUACUUUCAGCAGUGAGGAAGGUUCUUGCGUUAAUAGCGUAUUCAUUUGACGUUAGCUGCAGAAGAAGCACCGGCUAACUCCGUGCCAGCAGCCGCGGUAAUACGGAGGGUGCGAGCGUUUAUCGGAAUUACUGGGCGUAAAGCGCAUGCAGGUGGUUUGUUAAGUCAGAUGUGAAAGCCCGGGGCUCAACCUGGGAAUUGCAUUUGAAACUGGCAGACUAGAGUACUGUAGAGGGGGGUAGAAUUUCAGGUGUAGCGGUGAAAUGCGUAGAGAUCUGAAGGAAUACCGGUGGCGAAGGCGGCCCCCUGGACAGAUACUGACACUCAGAUGCGAAAGCGUGGGGAGCAAACAGGAUUAGAUACCCUGGUAGUCCACGCCGUAAACGAUGU
rnacentral:rRNA from 1 species